UACGGAGGGUGCAAGCGUUAAUCGGAAUUACUGGGCGUAAAGCGUGCGCAGGCGGUGAUGUAAGACAGGUGUGAAAUCCCCGGGCUUAACCUGGGAACUGCAUUGGUGACUGGCAGGCUUUGAGUGUGGCAGAGGGAGGUAGAAUUCCACGUGUAGCAGUGAAAUGCGUAGAGAUGUGGAGGAAUACCGAUGGCGAAGGCAGCCUCCUGGGCCAACACUGACGCUCAUGCACGAAAGCGUGGGGAGCAAACAGG
rnacentral:rRNA from 1 species